rnacentral:rRNA from 1 species
UACAGAGGUCUCGAGCGUUAGGCGGAAUCACUGGGCUUAAAGCGUGUGUAGGCGGAUCGUUAAGUGCCUUGUGAAAUCCCACGGCUCAACCGUGGAACUGCUUGGCAUACUGGCGGUCUUGAGCAACCUAGGGGCGAGCGGAACAAAUGGUGGAGCGGUGAAAUGCGUAGAUAUCAUUUGGAACGCCAAUGGUGAAAACAGCUCGCUGGGGGGGUUUGCUGACGCUGAGACACGAAAGCCAGGGGAGCAAACGGG